rnacentral:snRNA from 1 species
GGAUGUGAGGGCGAUCUGGCUGUGACAUCUGUCACCCCCUUGAUUGCCAGGGUUGAUUUGGCGCAUCUGGCUGGCUAGGCGUGUGUUUCCUUCCUCCCUCAAAGCUCUAUGUGUGUCCCUCCCAAAGCUGUGUGCUCAGUUUGAAAGGAUGAGCAUCCCCGAUAGAGGAGGACCGUUCCUUGGUCAAGGGUAUAUGAGUCGCUGCGCUCCCUUGCUAGAACCUCCAACCAAACUCUCAAGGAACACAUAAAGCUGUAUGUAAUAUGCUUCUGUAAAAAUCAAAAGCUAUAGAUCAUAUAAAAAAAAUA